AAUUACAGAGACAAUAGUCAUGAUAAUAUAGAUGAAGUUAUAAACAACAUCAAAAGUGAAAAUAAGCUGCUAGAUUUCAUGUUCUUGCUAUAGAAAUCCAAAUCCAAGUCAUUUGUAGAGAAAUUGCUAGUUUUCCUGCGAUGAUGAUGAGGAUGUUGUCCGUUGUUUUUUCAAAGGAGGAAGUGAGUGAUCAAAUGUCUCAGAUGUAGCUAUGUCUCCUAAGUUUCCUUGGACUUCAAUUGCUUUGUCAUGCUCAU